rnacentral:lncRNA from 1 species
AGUGAUAGUCAGGCAUCAAGGGUGUCCUGAUUGGUGAAUUCUUUGGCUAAGAGGAAUCAAGAGGAAAGGAAUAUGGCAAAAGGUCCAGGCAAAUAGGCUGAGGUACUUAAUAGGAGAACCAGGAGUCAUGUAAGAAGGGAGAGGCAAUGUAAAAGUAUAGGAGGCUGAGGCACACUCUGAAGCAGUGGACUAAAAUCACUGAGCUGGCAGCCUAUAGAUAAAAGCCCCAUGGCUCCUACAUUCUGUGGGAGCUUAUUCAAGUCCAUCUUUGCUCCACUUGGCUGAAUCAUCCAUAUUUAAAGGCUGUACUUGCAUCUCCAGCAGCUACAUUCAGCUGGUCGACCUGCUCCUAGUGAACAUGAUAAUCACCAUAAUCCUAGGGGGAAAGAUAUGCAGAAUAGACAAGAAAACAGAAGCACUGCCUCAACAGCCCCUGAAAGCAGUAAGAGUGUCAACACAGGGAAAACAGGCAAUAGCAGACGACAGAACCUCAGCAGACUAGACCACAUGCCACAGCACGAUGCUACAGAAUCAAAUUGAAAUAUUCUUCCAGCUCAUAAUGAAGCAAGUCCCACUGGUCCUCAGAGAAGGGUAACUCAUCUCUCAGUGAAAGAAACCGCUUAAACAACAGACUGGCCAGCCGAAGCACGACAAGCUCCUUCUUAAUGCUUUUAUAGAGCAUGUUGCCCUCUCCCAUUCGCACAGGCUCCACAAGUUGAUGCCAGUAUGCGCUGAAUGACCCACCACCUGGCCCAGGAGGCUCAUCUCCCCAGCCCUCAGGGUAUUCAUGCUUGUAAAAGCAUGUGUCUCCAAAUGGGCAGUUACCCCUGCCUUCCGCAAAAUACCUGCAGGCCUUGUUGCUCAUUGCCUCCUUGUAUUGCUGAAUAAGUUUCUGCUUCUCUUCCUCCUCCUCCACCCAGAACUCACUGGGAAUGACCAAUUCAGAGGUGACCCUGCACUGUGGGCAAGACUUGACGAUCCUGUUCUCAAACUGUCUGGCACUUCUCCACCUGCGGAUACACCUAAUACAGAAGGAAUGGUUGCAAUUGGAAAGAAUGCCAAAGCGGCGGUCAUUGGGGUUGGCCUUCUCAUAGACAACCUCCAUGCAGAUGCCACACACCUUGUCCAUACCACGCUGCACAGCAAACGAGAGUUCCAUAUCUUUCUCGUGUGCUUCAAUGCAGGCCCUCAUAUGUUCUUCCCUCUGGGCAGCAUCCAUGGGGUGCAAGGUCUGCAGCCCACACAUGUCGCAUAUGUCUCCAUGGAGGUACAUACAGCUCUCCCCACGAAAGCAAACUCCCCUGGAAGCAUAAUAGCAAAACCGCAACCCACUGCCCACAGCCAUCUGCUUCCUCUCAGUCUCUGAGCUCUGUAGAGGAGCCUCGGGGGCAGAUGCAACCCAGCGGCCCCGGUAGGGCUGCCCUGGAACAAACUCAAUGGCAUCCGCCCAGCUUUCUACACCUGCUCCUCCAGCAGCUCCACGGUCUGCAUUGUCUCUCUCGGCUUCAAAGAAACCCCUUUCAGCAGCCGAGCCAAUCACAGGCAAGGAAAGGGAGGAUGCAGCCGGGGGGGCUUCCGCCACUUCCUGAGUCGGGGGCUCGAUGUGCGCAGCCGUGCUAGGGCCUCCACCUGCAGAGGCCCCAGGCGGCGAAACGCCACCCUCAGUGGCCAUCUUCCGACCAGAAAGGUCGUGCGAAUAGCGACAGUUCUCCCCCUCCUUGCACUGCCCAUGUAUAUAAUACCUGCAGAUGAUCUGCUUUGUCCAAAUGCCGCUGCUUCGGCUUGGCAACGGACUGGGCCAGGCUCCUCCUCCUGAGGCUGGGGCAGGCCUCAGGCCUCCUCUGCGGAGGUGGGCAGGGACUGGAGCUACAGGGAAGGGGGCCCAGCCCCUUGCCGCAUGUGGCAGGGCUGAAUCUGGAGCAGCAGAUUCCCCGGAGGGCUCACAGACGGGAAGGUCCGGCCCAGACACACCCUCCCUUGCUGCCUCAGCACCUGCCUGGGCCCCGGCUGCCUCGUGGGCUUCUGAGGGAGCUGCAGGCUCUUCCAUGGCUGCUUUGGCACCCCGAAAUGGUGCCAGAACCUCUCCGGUAUUUUUUCUUUAUGGGCUUGAGGCCCGGAAUGGCGGCCGCGCUCGGAGGCUUCUCUGGGGGAAGUGUGCAUCUCUUUUUCCUUCCCCCCUGCUUUUGGGUCCCUCUGACUGUGUGUUCCUACCUACUUCCGGGCACAGGCAGCAUGGCGGACACUUCCUGUGGGGGCAACGUACGUGCUCUGCCUGGUUUUUACCGCAAUUUUCCAAUCUGACAUAUUUUUUCGUUCACACAGGCGGGGACCAACCCAGCCCCUUUUGUCUGCCUUCUGCCUCUGCUUCGCUGUGUUCCGGCAGUCCCUAAGUCCCUUCUCACACGAUUUCCUCAGGAGAAUGAGGUUUUACUUUAAUCUCUUCUGGUUUCGGUCAUGCACGCUUCGUUGUAUUUUCGUAUCUGUCUGCCUUAAAAAAAAUAUAAUCCUAUAGAUUCUGAAACAUUUCAUCCAUGAAUUAUAUAAAUUCUUUUUUUAUUCACUCCA